AUUAGCUAUGUCUUCUAUAUGCAUGAAAAAUUGGUCUUUAAAGGACUGUUUUACCUGCAGCUAUAUCUAUACACCAGAUAUAGUCCACAGACUAUGUGAGGACAGACUCUCUAUUUACAUAGAGAGUUAAAGGUAUAGCCGGUCUCACCUAUAAGUGGGAUGAGAAAAAUGUUGUACACACCGCCCGUCGCUACUACCGAUUGAAUGGCUCAGUGAGGCCUUGGGACUGGCUCAGAGAGGUCGGCAACGACCACUCAGAGCCGGAAACUUGGUCAAACUUGGUCAUUUAGAGG
rnacentral:rRNA from 1 species